UGUUUCGGCUAGGGGGCCAUCCCGGCUUACCAACCCGAUGCAAACUGCGAAUACCGGAGAAUGUUAUCACGGGAGACACACGGCGGGUGCUAACGUCCGUCGUGAAGAGGGAAACAACCCAGACCGCCAGCUAAGGUCCCAAAGUCAUGGUUAAGUGGGAAACGAUGUGGGAAGGCCCAGACAGCCAGGAUGUUGGCUUAGAAGCAGCCAUCAUUUAAAGAAAGCGUAAUAGCUCACUGGUCGAGUCGGCCUGCGCGGAAGAUGUAACGGGGCUAAACCAUGCACCGAAGCUGCGGCAGCGACACUUUAGUGUUGUUGGGUAGGGGAGCGUUCUGUAAGCCGUUGAAGGUGUCCUGUGAGGGGUGCUGGAGGUAUCAGAAGUGCGAAUGCUGACAUAAGUAACGAUAAAGCGGGUGAAAAGCCCGCUCGCCGGAAGACCAAGGGUUCCUGUCCAACGUUAAUCGGGGCAGGGUGAGUCGACCCCUAAGGCGAGGCCGAAAGGCGUAGUCGAUGGGAAACGGGUUAAUAUUCCCGUACUUGGUGUUACUGCGAAGGGGGGACGGAGAAGGCUAUGUUGGCCGGGCGACGGUAGUCCCGGUUUAAGCGUGUAGGCUGGUUUUCCAGGCAAAUCCGGAAAAUCAAGGCUGAGGCGUGAUGACGAGGCACCACGGUGCUGAAGCAACAAAUGCCCUGCUUCCAGGAAAAGCCUCUAAGCAUCAGGUAACAUCAAAUCGUACCCCAAACCGACACAGGUGGUCAGGUAGAGAAUACCAAGGCGCUUGAGAGAACUCGGGUGAAGGAACUAGGCAAAAUGGUGCCGUAACUUCGGGAGAAGGCACGCUGACACGUAGGUGAAGUGAUUUACUCAUGGAGCUGAAGUCAGUCGAAGAUACCAGCUGGCUGCAACUGUUUAUUAAAAACACAGCACUGUGCAAACACGAAAGUGGACGUAUACGGUGUGACGCCUGCCCGGUGCCGGAAGGUUAAUUGAUGGGGUCAGCGCAAGCGAAGCUCCUGAUCGAAGCCCCGGUAAACGGCGGCCGUAACUAUAACGGUCCUAAGGUAGCGAAAUUCCUUGUCGGGUAAGUUCCGACCUGCACGAAUGGCGUAAUGAUGGCCAGGCUGUCUCCACCCGAGACUCAGUGAAAUUGAACUCGCUGUGAAGAUGCAGUGUACCCGCGGCAAGACGGAAAGACCCCGUGAACCUUUACUAUAGCUUGACACUGAACAUUGAGCCUUGAUGUGUAGGAUAGGUGGGAGGCUUUGAAGCGUGGACGCCAGUCUGCGUGGAGCCGACCUUGAAAUACCACCCUUUAAUGUUUGAUGUUCUAACGUGGACCCGUAAUCCGGGUUGCGGACAGUGUCUGGUGGGUAGUUUGACUGGGGCGGUCUCCUCCUAAAGAGUAACGGAGGAGCACGAAGGUUGGCUAAUCCUGGUCGGACAUCAGGAGGUUAGUGCAAUGGCAUAAGCCAGCUUGACUGCGAGCGUGACGGCGCGAGCAGGUGCGAAAGCAGGUCAUAGUGAUCCGGUGGUUCUGAAUGGAAGGGCCAUCGCUCAACGGAUAAAAGGUACUCCGGGGAUAACAGGCUGAUACCGCCCAAGAGUUCAUAUCGACGGCGGUGUUUGGCACCUCGAUGUCGGCUCAUCACAUCCUGGGGCUGAAGUAGGUCCCAAGGGUAUGGCUGUUCGCCAUUUAAAGUGGUACGCGAGCUGGGUUUAGAACGUCGUGAGACAGUUCGGUCC
rnacentral:rRNA from 1 species